AGGUGUUUGGCUGCUUCCGGCUUCCGUAGUUUAAUCUCUUUUCUGUUAUCACCAAGGGGGUGAAAUCUGGACGAAAUGACGGUGUGGGAAUCGUGCAGCACAGCAGAUGCGUCGCUUUGCCCUCACUCAAACCGCCGAAGCCGACGUGAAAAGGACCGCAUCUCACUGAACGGAGUUGGCCGCACCUUCGGUACUGUCCACCUCGGCCGGGACAGAUGCUCUUCCAAAUGGAUUCCAGUUCUGACGAUAGUCAUUUGAAGACAGCGGCAAAGCGAUGUUAGUGGAAAAUUCACAGAGAAAAGGAAAACGGUACAUAUUAGCUUUUGCGAUGGCAGCAAGACGGCUUAAACCGUGUGCUAAAGAAAUAUUAUUAUUAUUUGGUGUUUAAACUAUUACAAUAGGCAGUUAGAAGUUUCUUUAGAGCAGGUCAAGUCCAGUCCACAUACCUUUACACACACACCCCUAUACCCCCCCCCCCCACACACACAC